rnacentral:miRNA from 1 species
CUUCCCGCCGGCGAGGUACAAGUACCUCGUCGACUGGAAGGAGACCCUUCCAGCCGUCGAGGUACAAGUACCUCGACGGCUGGAAG